CUCAGUAACGGCGAGUGAAGCGGUAACAGCUCAAAUUUGAAAGCUAGCUCUUUUAGGGUUCGCAUUGUAAUUUGUAGAAGAUGCUUCGGGUGUGGCCCCGGUCUAAGUUCCUUGGAACAGGACGUCAUAGAGGGUGAGAAUCCCGUAUGUGACUGGGUGCUUUCGCUCAUGUGAAGCUCUUUCGACGAGUCGAGUUGUUUGGGAAUGCAGCUCAAAAUGGGUGGUAAAUUUCAUCUAAAGCUAAAUAUUGGCCAGAGACCGAUAGCGCACAAGUAGAGUGAUCGAAAGAUGAAAAGCACUUUGGAAAGAGAGUUAAACAGUACGUGAAAUUGUUGAAAGGGAAGCGCUUGCAACCAGACUUGCGCGCUGAUGAUCAUCCGGGCUUCUGUCCGGUGCACUCGUCUGCGCUCAGGCCAGCAUCGGUUUCGGUGGUGGGAUAAAGGCCUUGGGAAUGUAGCUCCUCUCGGGGAGUGUUAUAGCCCUCGGUGCAAUGCCGCCUACCGGGACCGAGGACCGCGCUUCGGCUAGGAUGCUGGCGUAAUGGUUGUAAGCGACCCGUCUUGAAACACGGACCAAGGAGUCUAACAUCUAUGCGAGUGUUUGGGUGUCAAACCCAUACGCGUAAUGAAAGUGAACGGAGGUGAGAACCCUUAAGGGUGCAUCAUCGACCGAUCCUGAUGUCUUCGGAUGGAUUUGAGUAAGAGCAUAGCUGUUGGGACCCGAAAGAUGGUGAACUAUGCGUGAAUAGGGUGAAGCCAGAGGAAACUCUGGUGGAGGCUCGCAGCGGUUCUGACGUGCAAAUCGAUCGUCAAAUUUGCGUAUAGGGGCGAAAGACUAAUCGAACCAUCUAGUAGCU
rnacentral:rRNA from 1 species